rnacentral:rRNA from 1 species
GUCUUGUAAUUGGAAUGAUGGUGACCUAAACCCUCACCAGAGUAACAAUUGGAGGGCAAGUCUGGUGCCAGCAGCCGCGGUAAUUCCAGCUCCAAUAGCGUAUAUUAAACUUGUUGCAGUUAAAAAGCUCGUAGUUGAAUUUCUGCGUUAUCGAGUUAUUGACUCUUGUCUUUAAUCGAUUUCGCUUUUGGGAUUUAUCCCUUUUUACUUUGAGAAAAAUUAGAGUGUUUCAAGCAGACUUUUGUCUUGAAUACUUCAGCAUGGAAUAAUAGAGUAGGACUUUGGUUCUAUUUUGUUGGUUUUUGAACCUUAGUAAUGGUUAAUAGGAACGGUUGGGGGCAUUCGUAUUUAACUGUCAGAGGUGAAAUUCUUAGAUUUGUUAAAGACGAACUACUGCGAAAGCAUUUGCCAAGGACGUUUCCAUUAAUCAAGAACGAAAGUUAGGGGAUCGAAGACGAUCAGAUACCGUCGUAGUCCUAACCAUAAACUA